GAAAUGCGAUAAGUAAUGUGAAUUGCAGAAUUCAGUGAAUCAUCGAAUCUUUGAACGCACCUUGCGCUCCUUGGUAUUCCUUGGAGCAUGCCUGUUUGAGUAUCAUGAAAUCUUCAAAGUAAAUCUUUUGUUAACUCAAUUGGUUUCUACUUUGGUAUUGGAGGUCUUUGCAGCUUCACACCUGCUCCUCUUUGUUCAUUAGCUGGAUCUCAGUGUUAUGCUUGGUUCCACUCGGCGUGAUAAGUUAUCUAUCGCUGAGGACACUGUAAAAGGUGGCCAAGGUAAAUGCAGAUGAACCGCUUCUAAUAGUCCAUUGACUUGGACAAUAUUUUUAUGAUCUGAUCUCAAAUCAGGUAGGACUACCCGCUGAACUUGAGC
rnacentral:misc_RNA from 1 species